rnacentral:rRNA from 1 species
UACACACCGCCCGUCGCACCUACCGAUUGAGUGGUCCGGUGAAGACUCGGGAUUGUGGCAAUCUACUUUAUUGCAGUUUGUCCACGAGAACCUGUCUAAACCUUAUCACUUAGAGGAAGGUGAAGUCGUAACAAGGUUUCCG